GCCACCAGGGAAGCUUGAGCCAUAGGAAUUUGGAUGGUCGAGAACAUGCUCCAGUCAGUCCUUGAAUCCACAGAAUCAAACCAGCGUCUCAUCGUGGGGAGCGUCAUUAGUAUGAGUGUCAUCGGCAUCAUCAUUAUGAUCAUCAUCACCGUCACGCUAGUGGAAACACAGUUCUGUCCGACAAAUAAUAAUUGAGCCUUGACUCCGGAGCCUUGACACUGGAAUACAUGCCAGGGGAGAGAGAGCAAAAUGAACUUGUUCCAUCAUGAGAUGCUCCCAAACUUCUCAUGCCAUCAGGUUCAGGCUUGAAGUCCAGGAUCUCGUCUUUGGUAUCAUUUCCAGGUAUACAGCAAAGUGAGAGAUUGGUGCAAGAUGGCGGAGUAGGACGUGU